rnacentral:rRNA from 1 species
AAUAACAAUAAAAUAAUAAAUGUGAUGUCACGAAAGAUUGUGAGCUAAACAUAUAUAGUGUAUUACAUACGUCGCAUAGUAUGCAUAAAAUAUAUGUUUAGAAGUGACAGGCUUUUCAAACGGUCUUAUAACUUGUUUCAUAUGAAAAGUAUUAAGUACAAAAACAGAUUUAAAAAGUUAAGCUUUUAAAUAAAGAUUAAAAAUAUGAUUUCUCUUGUAGUGUAGUAUAAUAGCUACUUGCAUAAUAUCUUAACAUUAAGCAUAAUAAUUUAUAUUGCAUAAUAUGACGAUAAAAAUUUCGUUACUAUUUGAUAAUGUUAUUAUUAGUAGUAUUAAUAUAUAUACUAAAGGAACUCGGCAAAUGACCACUCAACUGUUUAUCAAAAACAUAGCUAUAUGAGUUAAUAUAUAGUUAUUUCUGCUCAAUGAAGUUUAAAUAGCCGCAGUACUCUGACUGUGCAAAGGUAGCAUAAUCAGUUGGCUUUUAAUUGGAGUCUGGCAUGAAAGAAAAUAUGGGUAGUAACUGUCUUAGUGUAUUUAAUUGAAUUUACUAAACAAGUGCAAAUACUUGUGGUUUAACAAUAGACGAGAAGACCCUAGAAACUUGAGUUAGUUUUUGUUGGGGCGACAGGAUUACAUUUAACUAAUCUUAUGCACAUGACGCAAUGUUGAAAGUAUAAGUUACUCUAGGGAUAACAGCAUAAUUUAAUUAGUUUGUGACCUCGAUGUUGGACUAGGUACUAUACCCUUAAGGCAAGGGUGUAUCGUGCUCUGUUCGAGCAGUAUUACCUACAU